UCUUAUGGGUGAGCAAAGGAAGUAGUUUCUUGAGAUGAAAUCCAUCCCUGGUGAAGAUGCUGUGAA
rnacentral:pre_miRNA from 2 species